rnacentral:lncRNA from 1 species
UGAAAUCACUCAUGCACAAAUUAAGCCACGCCCUCCUCUUCUCACACCCUUAGUGGAUAGGGAUAAAUUGAUUUCCAUUUGAAUUCAAAAUUUGAUUUGAAUUCAAAUGUGCAAUUACUAAUCUUUAUCCUCUCACGUGGAUAAGAUGUUUAACAUUAUUUUAAAAGGAGGAAAAGAGUGGGGCGUGUGCAAGAAAAAUUUUGAAGAGAAAAUCUGGGCGUGAGGAAUCCUUGUGUGCAAGGUGAAGGUCUAUAUCCUUCCGAGAGAAAAAGAAAGAAAAGAAAGAAAAAGUGUGCGCAGGGUUUCAGUGAGUUCUUCAGGGUUUUAGCCUGGAGUUCGGGAAGUGAGAAGGUGAGCUACGAGUAUCGUGAGCCCACCAAAUUUUAGGAAGAUCUUCAACAU